rnacentral:rRNA from 1 species
UAACCUGCCUGGUAGCGGGGGAUAACUAUUGGAAACGAUAGCUAAUACCGCAUAACAGUAGAUAUCGCAUGAUAUUUGCUUGAAAGGUGCAAUUGCACCACUACCAGAUGGACCUGCGUUGUAUUAGCUAGUUGGUGAGGUAACGGCUCACCAAGGCAACGAUACACAGCCGACCUGAGAGGGUGAUCGGCCACACUGGGACUGAGACACGGCCCAG